rnacentral:lncRNA from 1 species
CCUUGAAGGAUGUGCUAUGCCGAGUUCCCAGGGAGAAGAGGAAAUUGGUCCCAUACAACGAAAUAAAAGGUUGCUUUCUGCUGAGCCACUAGCAGUCCCUGAGAGCACAUCUCCCCACACCCCAUGGUCCUCAGUGUCACCCAGAGGUGGGAUCUGGCCACAGUGAUGGAUAUGAGUGCUGGCAUGUCACUGUGUUUCUUGGGUCACUGGUAAGUGCAAGCAGCUUCGUACAGCUUGGCCAUUCGGUCACUGAGGACACCUGGGCAAAGUCAGUUUGGCUUGAAGGGCUGAGGUGUGGCAGAUGGUUCUCUCUUUUCUUUUUCAGGAUUUG